GUGCUCACUUUAGCAGCUCAUAUACUAAAAUUGCAACGAUACAGAGAAGAUGAGCGCGGCCCCCUGCGCAAGGGUGACACACAAAUUCGUGAAGCGUUGCAUAUUUUU